UGAGCUGACAGGCACAUCAACAAAUUGUCCAGUUCCAUCAGCUGCUAAAAUUCUGGACGAGGCCCAUCAGCUUGGCAUAAUCCAGGGGAAGUAGAGUCUUUUGAUGUAAAUAUUUGGUAAAGUCAGUGCCUUUUACCAGAAGUUGAGGAGUGCAGUCUGUUGCGUAGAGACGUGUAUGCCAUUUACUUUGUUUUAGAAACUGAAAUCCCCUCGUUGCAAAACAAAACUUUGUUUCUUAUUUAUGUGGACCGUAUUUCUUUUCCUGAACCAGAAAAAAAAAAUCCCUCUUUUCACUAGGGGAAAAAAAAUCCCUCCUAAGUGGUAUUUCAUUUCUCCCAGUUUCUAAUAUUCAUGUUUUUAUAACAAAAUUGUAAACAAUGUGAAGCCACAAACUUGAGUCUUUUCGGCGAGUCUUGUGAGCCGCCGAGGGGCUGGCUGCCCUAGCUUGUUUAUAGAAUCCGCUGGAGGUGCCCCUGAGCGGCCCCAGCCUCCCCAUCUGUGCUCAGAUGGGAGACCACGGCCCCCCUGCUCUGUCUGCUGCGUUGAGUGUGCUCAUGGGGG
rnacentral:lncRNA from 1 species